rnacentral:rRNA from 1 species
CGGCGAGCGAAGCGGCAAAAGCUCAAAUUUGAAAUCUGGCGUCUUUCUUAGGCGUCCGAGUUGUAAUUUGAAGAUGGCAACUUUGGGAUUGGCUCUCGCAUAUGUUCCUUGGAACAGGACGUCAUAGAGGGUGAGAACCCCGUUCAUGGCGAGAUGACCCAAUUCUAUGUAAAGUGCUUUCUAAGAGUCGAGUUGUUUGGGAAUGCAGCUCUAAGUGGGUGGUAAAUUCCAUCUAAGGCUAAAUAUUGGCGAGAGACCGAUAGCGAACAAGUACAGUGAUGGAAAGAUGAAAAGAACUUUGAAAAGAGAGUGAAAAAGUACGUGAAAUUGUUGAAAGGGAAGGGCUUGAAAUCAGACUUGGUAUUCAGUGAUCAACUGUCUCUCGGGACUGUGCACUCGCUGUUUACUGGGCCAACAUCGGUUUAGAGGGUGAGAUAAAAGCUAGAGAAUGUGGCACUGCUUCGGUAGUGUGUUAUAGCUCUGGUCAAUAUCACCACUCUAGACCGAGGACUGCGCUUUAUGCUAGGA